ACCCAGACUCCUACGGGAGGCAGCAGUGAGGAAUAUUGGUCAAUGGGCGGGAGCCUGAACCAGCCAAGUCGCGUGAAGGAAGAAGGUACUUAGUAUUGUAAACUUCUUUUGUCGGGGAACAAAGGCGGAGACGCGUCUCCGGAUGAGUGUACCCGAAGAAAAAGCAUCGGCUAACUCCGUGCCAGCAGCCGCGGUAAUACGGAGGAUGCGAGCGUUAUCCGGAUUUAUUGGGUUUAAAGGGUGCGUAGGCGGACGCUUAAGUCAGCGGUAAAAUUGCGGGGCCCAACCUCGUCGAGCCGUUGAAACUGGGUGCCUUGAGUGGGCGAGAAGUACGCGGAAUGCGUGGUGUAGCGGUGAAAUGCAUCGAUAUCACGCAGAACUCCGAUUGCGAAGGCAGCGUACCGGCGCCCAACUGACGCUGAAGCACGAAGGCGUGGGUAUCGAACAGGAUUAGAUACCCUCGUAAG
rnacentral:rRNA from 1 species